AUCUGGAUUCCAGCUUGUGAUGAGUCAUCAGGUAAGACUAACUAUAAGGUACUCUUCAGUUGCUGCUAGACAAAUUGCUAAUUUCUUUUUGGCUAUUUCUUAGGAUAUUUGCUUGGUUUGACUUUUAACCAAGUUUCUUUGUUCCUGGCAAGAUUGGUUUAAAAAUCAAAAAGGGACAGAAAAAAGUGUUGACCAAUCAGAGCCCUAAUCACAUAAUUACUGUUGAUUGCUGCUGAUCAAAUUAUACUGUUUCCCAGGUAUAAAGCUAGAGCCAUCAGGACAUGGGCCUGCAUUUGGAGUCCGGUUGCCAGGAGAACAGUGUCUCUCUGGGUCCUUGUAUAGCUGCAGUUGGAAUCAGGAUUUUGUUGAUAGAAGCCUGUGGGAUCUCAGUACUCUGACCCAGGUGUGGAUCUCAUCAGUGUCCUCGGGAAGAGGGACCCAGGGAAGCGACUGUCCUGGCCCGGGUUAGGAGGAGCGUCUCAUCAAACACGGCGCACACAUCUCUGGAACUCGAAGCUGAGUUUCUGUUUGCUGACGCCCCUUCGAUGGACAGCCCUGCCCUGCUGAGCCCUCGGCUCCAGCAUCCUGCUAAUGCUUCCGGAUGCUGCUGUGCUCCUGAUCUUCAACCCUUGGGUCCCCCUUUGGAUCCUGGAAAUCCAAUGCACCCCGGCCCGUGCCUGCGAUCGCUGGAGGGUAUUGCAGCCGGUGACCUUUACGGCGCCCCCUUGAUUCCUCCCAACGUCAGUGAGACUCUGACCGCGUUCCCCAGAGACGCUGCUAGGACCUGCAGGGCCCCCAUAAACUUGGGUGAGGUGGUAAGGUUGGACCACUCUUAUGCCUCUAAGAGUCUGGCACCAGCUGCAGAGACCAGAGUCUCCAGCACCUUUGACUAUGAUCCCCUGGGGCUAAAGCUAGAGGCACUUGCAUCUCUUGAGUCCUGUGACGAGCUCUCCACCAAUGGAUGGUCUUCAAUCUGUGAGCCCAUGACUACUGAAGAAUUUGCCAAAUGUGACUCUCGGGGAUUUUUUUUUAACUCUGUGUCUGUCUGCUUAGUCGCUCAGUCCUGUCCAUCUCUUUAUGACCUCAUGGACUGUAGCUCACCAGGCUCCUCUGUCCAUGGAAUUCUCCAGGAAAGGAUACUGGAGUGGGUUGCUAUUCCUUUCUCCAAUGGAUGUUCCUGACCCAGGAAUUGAACCCAGGUCUCCUCCAUUACAGACAGAUUCUUUACUGUCUGAACCACCAGGGAAGCCCUUUGUAACUGUAUUGAUAUUUGUUAAAGCUGUUAUCCCAAUGUAUAUCCACAAAACAAAGAAAGGUAAAAUCCUUAAAAUAUAUUUUUAAAUCCAGCAUUAUCUCCUAAAGGAAAGUGACCUUUCAACAACUAGUCCACUCUUUUGCCUAGUAUAACUUCUUUAUUUAUACUCCUUUCUGCCUACAUUUUUUAUUUUGUACAGCUUCUUGGUGCUUUCUGCUAGACUGAAUGCUGCCAAGUUUGAAUUGUAUUUUGCAUAAGUAAACUCUUCAAUUUUUUAAUAUGCCUCAGUUUAUCUUUCAACAAUCUAAAGCAGAGUAAUCCAGAAAAGUUAAAAGUAAAUGAAUCAACAAAAUUAUACUAAGAAAAAUACAAACAGAAAGCAGAAGUCAUGAAUCUUAGUGUCAGAGAAAAUAGAAUUGACUCUCAAAGGUAUAUGAAAGGGCUCUAAAGGCUACAUCUCACCAUAAAUGUAUAACAGUCAUGAAUGCCCAGGCAACUUUGAUAAAGUUUAAAUUAUAGAAAAUCAAACAAGUUGGAAGAAACAUUAAAAAUAGGAGAAUUUAAAUUACUUAAUGUGAUAUUUUGAUUUAUACUAUGAAAUAUAUGUUUGGUCCUCAUUUCAAUUUCUGAUUGAUAGCUCCUAAAACCCUUGGAAUUUCCGAAGUAAAUAAAGUUACAUUUUAUGAUUUUGUUA